rnacentral:rRNA from 1 species
GACGAACGCUGGCGGCGUGCUUAACACAUGCAAGUCGAACGGAAAGGCCCUGCUUUUGUGGGGUGCUCGAGUGGCGAACGGGUGAGUAACACGUGAGUAACCUGCCCUUGACUUUGGGAUAACUUCAGGAAACUGGGGCUAAUACCGGAUAGGAGCUCCUGCUGCAUGGUGGGGGUUGGAAAGUUUCGGCGGUUGGGGAUGGACUCGCGGCUUAUCAGCUUGUUGGUGGGGUAGUGGCUUACCAAGGCUUUGACGGGUAGCCGGCCUGAGAGGGUGACCGGCCACAUUGGGACUGAGAUACGGCCCAGACUCCCACGAGAGGCAGCAGUGGGGAAUAUUGCACAAUGGGCGGAAGCCUGAUGCAGCAACGCCGCGUGCGGGAUGACGGCCUUCGGGUUGUAAACCGCUUUCGCCUGUGACGAAGCGUGAGUGACGGUAAUGGGUAAAGAAGCACCGGCUAACUACGUG